UACGGAGGGGGCUAGCGUUGUUCGGAAUUACUGGGCGUAAAGCGCACGUAGGCGGCUUUGUAAGUUAGAGGUGAAAGCCCAGGGCUCAACCCUGGAAUUGCCUUUAAGACUGCAUCGCUUGAACAUCGGAGAGGUAAGUGGAAUUCCGAGUGUAGAGGUGAAAUUCGUAGAUAUUCGGAAGAACACCAGGUGGCGAAAGGCGACUUACUGGACGAUUGUUGACGCUGAGGUGCGAAAGCGUGGGGAGCAAACAGG
rnacentral:rRNA from 1 species